rnacentral:rRNA from 1 species
GACGAACGCUGGCGGCGUGCUUGACACAUGCAAGUCGAACGGAAAGGCCUGCCUUCCCUUGUGGAUUGCGGGUACUCGAGUGGCGAACGGGUGAGUAACACGUGAGUGAUCUGCCCCCAACUUGGGUAUAAGCCUGGGAAACUGGGUCUAAUUCCCGAUAGGACUGCAGGGUGGUGCCUGUGGUGGAAAACGAUUUUCUAGUGGUUGGGGAUGAGCUCGCGGCCUAUCAGCUUGUUGGUGGGGUAAUGGCCUACCAAGGCGGCGACGGGUAGCCGGCCUGGGAGGGUGGACGGCCACAUUGGGACUGAGAUACGGCCCAGACUCCUACGGGAGGCAGCAGUGGGGAAUAUUGCACAAUGGGCGGAAGCCUGAUGCAGCGACGCCGCGUGGGGGAUGACGGCCUUCGGGUUGUAAACUCCUUUCGACCGCGAGGAAGCCACCUGGUUGGAAGGGUGGUGACGGUAGUGGUAGAAGAAGCACCGGCUAACUACGUG